rnacentral:rRNA from 1 species
CUUCCUUCCGGAGACGCGUCCUACUCUUAGCUGAGCGGGGCGUGGAGACGGAUCGUUUACUUUGAAAAAAUCAGAGUGUUUCAAGCAGGCAUCAUCGCUCUUGCAUGGAUUAGCAUGGGAUAAUGAAAUAGGACCUUGGUGCUAUUUUGUUGGUUUCGAGCACCGAAGUAAUGAUUAACAGGGACAGUCAGGGGCACUCGUAUUCCGCCGAGAGAGGUGAAAUUCUCAGACCAGCGGAAGACGAACCACUGCGAAAGCAUUUGCCAGGGAUGUUUUCACUGAUCAAGAACGAAAGUUAGGGGAUCGAAGACGAUCAGAUACCGUCGUAGUCUUAACCAUAAACCAUGCCGACUAGGGAUUGGAGGAUGUCCACUUUUGACUUCUUCAGCACCUUACGGGAAACUAAAGUCUUUGGGUUCCGGGGGGAGUAUGGUCGCAAGGCUGAAACUUAAAGGAAUUGACGGAAGGGCACCACCAGGAGUGGAGCCUGCGGCUUAAUUUGACUCAACACGGGGAAACUUACCAGGUCCAGACAUUGUGAGGAUUGACAGAUUGAGAGCUCUUUCUUGAUUCGAUGGGUGGUGGUGCAUGGCCGUUCUUAGUUGGUGGAGUGAUUUGUCUGGUUAAUUCCGUUAACGAACGAGACCUUAGCCUAUUAAAUAGUGUCGCGAACACUUGGUUCGCGUUCACUUCUUAGAGGGACAACUUGUCUUC